rnacentral:rRNA from 1 species
CAAUAGCGUAUAUUAAAGUUGUUGCAGUUAAAAAGCUCGUAGUUGGAUUUCGGGGCAGCCUGGCUGGUCCGCCGCAAGGCGAGUACUGGUCAGCCGCCCUUCCUCUCGAAAGCCCCGACUGCUCUUUAUUGCAGUGGUCGGGUAGUUCGGGACGUUUACUUUGAAAAAAUUAGAGUGUUCAAGGCAGGCCUACGCCUGAAUACAUUAGCAUGGAAUAAUGGAAGAGGACCUCGGUCCUAUUUUGUUGGUUUCCAGGACCGAAGUAAUGAUUAAGAGGGACAGUUGGGGGCAUUCGUAUUUAAUUGUCAGAGGUGAAAUUCUCGGAUUUAUGAAAGACGAACAACUGCGAAAGCAUUUGCCAAGGAUGUUCUCAUUAA